rnacentral:rRNA from 1 species
CUGGUUGAUCCUGCCAGUAGUCAUAUGCUUGUCUUAAAGAUUAAGCCAUGCAUGUCUAAGUAUAAAUAGUAUACAGUGAAACUGCGAAUGGCUCAUUAAAACAGUUAUAGUUUAUUUGAUAAUUGAAUUCUACAUGGAUAACCGUGGUAAUUCUAGAGCUAAUACAUGCUGUAAAACCUGACUUUUUGGAAAGGUUGUAUUUAUUAGAUACUAAACCAAUAUUCCUUCGGGUCUAUUGUGAUGAUUCAUAAUAACUGAUCGGAGCGCGGCUAGGCUGUGCUAAAUCAUUCAAGUUUCUGCCCUAUCAGCUUUCGAUGGUAGUGUAUUGGACUACCAUGGCUAUCACGGGUAACGGAGAAUUAGGGUUCGAUUCCGGAGAGGGAGCCUGAGAAACGGCUACCACAUCUAAGGAAGGCAGCAGGCGCGUAAAUUACCCAAUCCUGACUCAGGGAGGUAGUGACAAGAAAUAACAACUCGGGGGCGCAAGCCUUACGAGAUUGCAAUGGGUACAAUCCAAAUCACUUAACGAGGAACAAUUGGAGGGCAAGUCUGGUAAGGG